GGAGAAUGCUUACCUAUACUUGGACCGGCGUCUUCAGAGAUCUUGUCGCAGCUGUUGUGGCGGAUGCAAUGGAUUGGCCAACCUACGAACCGGUGUGUCCGCGCCUAACUGCUGAUCACUUGGCUGGCUUGAGGCAAGAAUUGGAACAGGCUGGCCGCUUGCAUGUCGUCUACUGGAUCUCUGCAUUUGCAGUGAACCUCCAUAGUUCAGUCUGCAAGCAGCCCGAGUACGAUUGCAU
rnacentral:ribozyme from 1 species